rnacentral:rRNA from 1 species
UGGGGGAUAUUGCACAAUGGGGGGAACCCUGAUGCAGCGACGCCGCGUGGUGAAGAAGCGCCUCGGCGCGUAAAGCCCUGUCAGCAGGGAAGAAAAUGACGGUACCUGAAGAAGAAGCCCCGGCUAACUACGUGCC